AUGAAUCAUCUCUUCUGCCCAAGAAUGCUAACUGGGUUCAUGUAUCUAUCUCUCUCCCACACCAUCUAUGCCUCAGAGAAAUCUUCACAAACUCAGCUUCAAGGAUGGGUCAGAGCCUUGGAAACUGCAUCUGCCUGGCUGUCAUUUUCUGCAAGUGCUGGUGUAAUUUCAAGAUUUGCUUGCCAAAUGCAUUAUAGCAUACUGGACAAAAACAAGGACUGCUGGGAUGAAAUUGAGAUUACGAAGCUCUUGAGAUGCUGUGAAAAUAUAUCUGCAAAACUACAGAAAAUCAAAGAAAAGGAGAUGGUGGAAGGGGGGAAGAUAUCUCUCUCUCUCUCAAGAGAGAGAUGAAAUAAAGAUUAAAUAAUUGAGUAAGUAACAGGAUAUGGAUAUAAAAUUAAUAUUCUAAGAGUAAAGUUUCUUGUGAUGGUUAAUUUUAUGUGUCAGCUUGAUGGCCAGGCCACAGUGUCCAGAUAUUUGGUCAAACACUAUUCUAGAUGUAUCUGUGGAGGUAUUUUUAGAUGAGAUUAACAUUUCAAUCAGCAGACUUUAAGUAAAGCAAGUUACUCUAUAUAAUAUGGGUGGGCUUCAUCCAAUCAGUCACAUUUUUAAUAGAAAAAAAAAGACCUCUCCCGAGAAAGAGGAAAAUGUCAGCAGUCUACCUUUGGUCUUGAGGUGCAGUACCAGCUCUUCCUUGGGUCUCCAGGCUGCUCAUCUACUUUGCAGAUUUUGAACUUAUCAGCCUCUCCCAUCAUGUGACCUAUUCUUAAAAUGGAUCUCUCCCACCACCCCUCCCACUCCCACCCCCUGACAUGCACAUCAUUUCUGUCUUUCUGGAGAACUCCCACUAACAGUGUAAUUUAUAGAAGGACCCAUUAUAACUAAAAGGUUGUAUCUGUAGGUAACAGUCCUAUGAAUAAAUGUAUCAAGAAAAGUACAAAACCUGACUGAGGAAAACUGUAAAACAUCUCAAAAGGAGAGAAGGAAAGCCCAUGUAGUAGGAUGAGAUGAUACAUCAUGGAGAUGGUUAUUUACCCCAAGUCAAUUAAAUUUAAUAUAAUCUCAAUAUGUCAUUUCAUCUUUUGUUCAGACAGCCCCCACAAAAGUCGUUCUCAAAAUGACCAUUUCUAAAUCAACAUUAAAACCUAUAGUUCUUAACAUAUAAUGGAGUUAUAUUAAAUAAAUCUGGCAUGUAACUCUAAAAAAGGAAAACAUAUAUGUAAUAGAAAAAAUGGGUGAAUUUCUGUAUAAUUUAGGAGUCUAUAAACCUAUCUCACUAUGACUUAAAAUCCAAAAGCAAUAAAGACAAAAAUAGAUAAAUUUGACAAUAUAAAAUUAUAUAUAUAUAUAUAUUAGAUAUGAUCCUCCUGGCC
rnacentral:lncRNA from 1 species